CACUCCAUGUAACUCUAGGGCAGCAGCACGCAAGAAGCAGGGAAACAGGGGAUGGGUGGGAGUUGGUUCUGGGGGGCGUAGGGAUCUCCAGAGGGGAACUGGGGACCCCACAAGGUUCUGAGAGGAUCUGGGAUGCAUGGAGGACUCCCCCCACUCAAGGAACAGACUGUGUGGUUGGUGGGCAGCCUGGAGCUCUUCUCCCACGUGCCAGUCUAGAGACAGGACUUAAGAGAAUGAGGUUUUUGGAUCAAGGGGUAUGGUUGCUGACUAGCGAGAUGGGUGGGCCUGCAGGAAAGAAUGUCUCUCCCUCAUUAAGCAUCAAUAGUGAAGUUAACUGACCCUUCAGCAGAAGCGCUUAGAGAAGAUAGGUAGACCGCUUUCCUGGAAUGAAGCGGCCG
rnacentral:lncRNA from 1 species